GUAACUUGUAGAUGUGGUUGAAGGCCACAUGGUGUCCAUUUUGUUGUGGUAGUGGCAGAUCACUUUGGCUGGGUCUUUGUGUGUUGCUGUGGCAGCAAUUGUAGUUGGUCUACUUGUGUUGACCCUUUUGGUUGUGACUGUUGCAUUCCACUUCUGUAUUGGUCACCUUUGUUGCUGUAUGGCCUGUCACAAUAACA